rnacentral:rRNA from 1 species
UACAGAGGGUGCAAGCGUUGUUCGGAAUUAUUGGGCGUAAAGCGCGUGUAGGCGGCUUUGCAAGUCGGGUGUGAAAUCCCUCAGCUUAACUGAGGAAGUGCGCCCGAAACUGCUUUGCUUGAGUGCCGGAGAGGAUGGCGGAAUUCCCCAAGUAGAGGUGAAAAUUCGUAGAUAUGGGGAGGAACACCGGUGGCGAAGGCGGCCAAUCUGGACGGUAACUGACGCUGAGACGCGAAAGCGUGGGGAGCAAACAGG